rnacentral:misc_RNA from 1 species
GUGAAUCAUCAAAUUUUUGAACGCAAAUUGCACUCUCUUCGGAGAGGAUGGCUGUUUGUGUGUCAGCCUAAAAAAAAAUCUACAUAUCAGCUGUGUCGCGGUUACAGUGGUCGGAAAUUGGGUCAUCUUAGAUCUGUGGUUUUGAAGCGUCUCAAAAUUUUCGUUACGAUUCCACUCACGAUUGGUAAAUGUACUGCUUAUACGUUUAAGGUAUCGAUCUUGAUUAUACGUGGCCGUUCAGUCGGAU